AACCGAAUGAUCCUCCAGCUUGCUGGGGGGAUUAGUGGCGAACGGGUGAGUAACACGUGAGUAACCUGCCCUUGACUCUGGGAUAAGCCUGGGAAACUGGGUCUAAUACCGGAUAUGACCAUCUGGCGCAUGUCAUGGUGGUGGAAAGCUUUUGUGGUUUUGGAUGGACUCGCGGCCUAUCAGCUUGUUGGUGGGGUAAUGGCCUACCAAGGCGACGACGGGUAGCCGGCCUGAGAGGGUGACCGGCCACACUGGGACUGAGACACGGCCCAGACUCCUACGGGAGGCAGCAGUGGGGAAUAUUGCACAAUGGGCGCAAGCCUGAUGCAGCGACGCCGCGUGAGGGAUGACGGCCUUCGGGUUGUAAACCUCUUUCAGUAGGGAAGAAGCCUUUCGGGGUGACGGUACUUGCAGAAGAAGCGCCGGCUAACUACGUGCCAGCAGCCGCGGUAAUACGUAGGGCGCAAGCGUUAUCCGGAAUUAUUGGGCGUAAAGAGCUCGUAGGCGGUUUGUCGCGUCUGCUGUGAAAGACCGGGGCUCAACUCCGGUUCUGCAGUGGGUACGGGCAGACUAGAGUGCAGUAGGGGAGACUGGAAUUCCUGGUGUAGCGGUGAAAUGCGCAGAUAUCAUGAGGAACACCGAUGGCGAAGGCAGGUCUCUGGGCUGUAACUGACGCUGAGGAGCGAAAGCAUGGGAGCGAACAGGAUUAGAUACCCUGGUAGUCCAUGCCGUAAACGUUGGGCACUA
rnacentral:rRNA from 1 species